GGGGCCGUAGCUCAGCUGGGAGAGCACCUGCUUUGCAAGCAGGGGGUCAUCGGUUCGAUCCCGAUCGGCUCCA
rnacentral:tRNA from 2 species